AUGUGUCCUAAUUUGCAGAGGGCCAUCCUACUUUUUACCUGCAGGUAUCCUCUUUUUGAACAGCUAGCUGUCGAGUACAUCUUUGCUUUAAAGAGGAAGGACCCUAUGGGGAGGCAUGGGGUCACAAAGGUCUCCAUCAACACUCGGACCCGCACCGCAGACUUAACAUGCCUGCAAGCUGUCUAUUCUGCCUUCCUCGUUAUGCUGAGUUUACCGUGCUCUGAUUUCAAUUUAAAUGUUUUUAAUUGGCAUAAGUGUUUAAGGGUUACAGGCAUUAAAAGUGCCACAAGAUCCUUUUUUUUUCUUUCAACAAUAAAAAUUAUUUCUAGACUCACCUCCAUGCACACAAGGUUGCAGAUCUGUAAAUUGUAUGAGAAUUUCUAUGUUCUUUUAGGAUGGUGCAUUAUUUUAACAUCGCUUUUCAUUUUAAAAUGCAGAUAUUACUGCUUUUGCCUCUGUGAUGCCCCAAAUCUUUCAGUUGUUUAAUGAAGGAACUAGAAAGCUGGAGACCGAGACCAUCCCCACUCUUGUGUUUCUGAUCAUCAUGGAUGGGUGUGGAAGCUGGGCAGUAAAGAAAUCAAAAUUGAUUUGUUUGAAAUGACUGAGUUGAUGGCACUGGACUACAAUAGUAAGGAAAUGAUUCAAGAAUCCAUUUUGCUCUUUAUCCCUCUGUCUGUGGAUGGUAAUUUUUCAAAGAACGUGCAUGGCUAAUGCAAAAGUGAAUUUGGAAACUAAAACAUGAUGUUCCAUGGUAACAUAUCCCAACCCAGUAAGAGAAAACUGUGGUUCAGAAGCCUUUUCCGUAACUUGCUGAUGUGGAUAACCUGCCUGUCUCUGCCAUGAUCACGCAUUAGCCUCACGGAACUGUUUGGAUCAAUAUUGCUGCGAUGGGAACGACAUCUCUCUAUGAAUGGAAAAGCAUUUCAGCAUUUCAUUUAUCGAUUCCAAGGCAGCCGGGCCUACGAGUCUUCUCAGAGAGGGCCUGAUAUGGAACAUGUCUGAGGCUCAGUAAACAGAUUUCAGAAUAGUGGGCAAUGCCCCCCACUUCUUUCCUAGAAAAUAUGUGAAAAUCAUCUAUUUGAGAGGAGGACAUGCUCGGAGGCUUAGGGCUAAAUCCAAGCGUUUCGGUUCAGCUUUUAACAUAGUCUAUGUUCACUUCAGGCUUCACUGCCACGUUAAAGUCACUUGUGUGACAACUUGCGUGGCAUUUAUAUAAUUCACACAAAACCUGUGCAUGGAGCUUGCUUUCUAAGGAGGCAAGUGGAUACUUGAAAUCUGUUGGCAAAAUUAAGGGGAGACAAAGCAAGAAAGAAUGAAGAUGUGAUCCUGGAUGCUCAACGGUUUAGGUCUCUUGUCUGUGGAACCAGAGGUCGGGAGUUUGAUUCCCCCCCUUGGUGCCUCCUGGAUAAGGGCUGGGCUCAAUGAUCUGCAGGGUCGCUUCCAGCUCUUGUUGUUCUAAGAUCAAUGCCCAGUGACAGCGUAUAAUAUUUAUUUAUUACCAUGGGAACUUUCAUGGAUUAAAAUCCUCUUCGUCAAAAGACACCUGGAUUUCAGACGAGUCUGCAAAUCUCCCAUUGAAAUAAAUCAGCCUUUGAAGCAUCGCA
ensembl:lncRNA